rnacentral:misc_RNA from 1 species
UUGGACAAAUGAGGCGUGGGAUCGCUUGAAACCUGUUUUCCCAAAGGGGAAGAAAGGAAGCAAAGUUCUAUUCACCGCCCGUAACAGGGAAGUUGCUUCUUAUGCUGAUCCAUGGAGCUCUUCCGUGGAACCACCAUUCUUGACCGAUGAGGAGAGCUAGAACUUCUUAAGAGGAAAACAUUCUCAAAAGACAUCCUCAUGGAGCAUGGUUGCACACCAGAAUUUGAAAAAUUGGGAAGGGAAAUGGUGAAA